UGUCUACUAGAAGCUCGGAGCCUCGGCUCNGUUUUUCAAAGCUAACGCAUUAAGUAGACCGCCUGGGGAGUACGGGCCGCAAGGUUAAAACUCAAAUGAAUUGACGGGGGGCCCGCGACAAGCGGUGGAGCAUGUGGUUUAAUUCGAUUGCAACGCGAAGAACCUUACCUACACUUGACAUACAGAGAACUUACCAGAGAUGGUUUUGGUGCCUUCGGGAGUCUCUGAUACAGGUGCUGCAUGGCU
rnacentral:rRNA from 1 species